GAAGUCCCCGGGUCGUAGCGGACAAACCCGAACACUCAUCUGCGCUGGGAGAGCAUCCCUUCACGCGGCUGCUGCUGCUACAUGUUCAGACCAUCGCUGAGCGCUGCGGUGAGUGGAGUGUCUGUAUGUACAGUUGGUCUUCUCCUUUCUAGUGCGAACAUUACCGUUUUUUUGUGGAAAACAGGACACCGUACGAACGGUGUUCGGUUUCGUCCCGUUCACCGUGGGUUGGAGGGAAGUUGGAGUCGGUUUGGGUGUGGUGCGGUAUCGAGUCGAGUGUGUGCGUGUGCUGGGUGGAGGUGAAAAGUCCUUCGGGGUCCGGUGCAUAUCCGGGUACGCUUCGGGUAGUGUUCGGGUCCCGACACCCGACGGAAGGAAGCGCGUGCGGAUUGCAUUCCACGCCCGGUCGAUCGGUGAAGGGGUAGGGCGGGACAGGACGGCCAGCAACCACUCGGACCGGUCGUCUCGUUUUGGGGCCUCGCUGUUGGUGGUGCGCGUGUGUUAGUGCGCGGUGGUGCGUACAAGGCAGGCAAGUAAAGCGUGACCGGGAUCCUGUGCUCGAGCAGCAGCAGUAGCCGUCCGUCGUCGGCUGGGUCCUGCUGGAGUUGGCAACUGCAAAUUUAGUCAUUGGCCUGGCCCAGUCAGGAGUGGUUGUGCUUUCCAGUGCUAACAGGAGCAGCAGUAGCAGCAGCAGCCAAGACAGUUACACCAGAGCCUUUUGCUUUAGGUUUGGUUAGAGUGAGCUUCAGUGAGAUAUAAGAGAAGUGUGUUAGCCUUAGAUCCUAGGACAAGUAGUUGAUAGUAUAAGACAGUUUGUCUUACAGUUUGCUUAGACAUUUAAGUCCCAAUAAGCAACGUUUAAAGUCACCAUAAACUGCAAACAAUUAAGAGCUUAAAGCUGCAACCAAACCUAACGAAACAUUUCCAACGAAAAUUCCACUCCAAUACGUUAGACAAUUCCGCGUACACGGGAACAAGCGUACCAGCUUAACCUAGACGCUAAAGUGCAAUCGGUUGUGUUCGCGUUUCAAUCGCGUAAACUUUCCACUCCCUUAGCAACACCAAAUUGGACAAACCCGAUCCUCUUUAUCGCACUCUCUCCCACUCUCUCUCGCUGUCGUGCGCAUUAAAUUUAGUGUGUGUAAAAAGGUUGGCAGCCCAGCCAUUCCGCGCUCACAAUUAAAACAAACGGUUAACUGAGCAAACAAAAUAGGAAGCAACCAACGGGACGAAAACCAAAAAAAAAAAAAACGCCCCAAAACAACAGCACCAGCAGCACCCGGCACGAUGACGAGCGCCCGACGAGUACCGACGAUGGCGCUCCAGCAGCAGCUGCAAGAAUGUUGCCACACGGCACUCGAAGCCUGCACCAUCGGGCAUAGCCUCGGUGCGCUUUGGACGCUUUCACCAGACCUCACGUGAGGAAGGCUCGAAGCGCUGGCGAGUAGCCUCCAGAAUUUAUGGCCCACCUGCCACCGCCCUCUAGCACUCGUGCCCGUACAAGCGAGGAUGCUCCGGGGCUCCGAGGCUUGAAAGGGGAAGCCACCACGAUCGGGUUGAGAGGCGCCCAUGCUUUUGCUGUACUAGGAAACGUGUCAAAAGCAGCAGCAGCAGCAGCAACAAACUUCUGGUACACAAACUCCACACGUCCCUCUGUGUGUGUGUGGAAGUAGCGUCCUGAUUUUGGGGGCUACCCGGGAAUGCCGGGAGUAGGGGAGAUUUCGGUCAUUCGAGAAUGAUGUUGCGGUUUGGAUGGGCAACGUGACUCAACCAGCAACCAGUGCUACCACCGGGAGCUGGCUCCAGCGCUUCCCGAGGUAGCAGGGUCAACAACGCCAGCACCACAACAACGUCCCAGCAUCAUCAUUGCCAUCAUCGCCCUUCAUCUCUCGGGACGCAGAAGGACCCGGGAAAAAACGGAAGCAGGACCACGAAACGCAACUAAAAGUAAGAGUUGCUGAUCUUUUAAUUUCCAUCAUAAAGCAAACAAGUCACGUCGCAGCAAGCGAGACAAGCCAAGCGGAGACCAAUCGAUGGGUCUGUGUCGGUGUGUGCGGGUUGUGUGCUUGUGUGAUUUGUAACGGCGAGUGCGGAAGGAAUUAUAACCGCACGCAAAAAUGGAAACAUCCUUUGGACUGGUGGCUGUGCGGAUGCUGUGGGAUGAACGAUAGUGGGGAAGAAAUUUAUUUGCUUCCGCUUUCCGGCAACGGCGUAUGGAGCGGGAUACUCAGUACCAUUCCCAACAACACUGGAAAGACAAUUCUUGCCCCUCCCCUGAGUGCUAACGACAAUGUUUCGCAUCUUGUGACCGUAAUGGGGUUAGAAACCGUUUAGGAGAUUUGUAGUCACUGCGCCACAGCACGUCGCAGCAGCAAAUUUGAAAUAGGUAAGGAAUUUGAUGCUAACGCAAGCGAAAAAUCGUUUAACCAGCAGGCAUGUACCGGCGCUGUAAGGAGGAAGCUCACCAGCGGUUUGUAAGUACUGGCAA